AUUCAACAGUCUUGGGAAGUGCUUAAUGAGGAGGGAAACAUUGUGUGGGCAACCACUGCAGUCCAUCCCCUCUGGACUUGGUGGCCUAAUCUCACACCUGACAUCUGUAAGUUAGUGGCAGGAUCCCCCAAAUGGGACCUCCCCGAUCAUACCGAUCUUAGUAACCCACCCCCUGAAGAGCGGUGUGUCCCAAACGGGAUAGGGAGCACAUAUGGGUGUUCGGGGCAGUUUUACCGAGCUAAUCUUAGAGCUGCAC
rnacentral:lncRNA from 1 species